UGGAGCGGCUGACGGGAAUCGAACCCGCGUAUCAAGCUUGGGAAGCUAGCGCUCUACCAUUGAGCUACAGCCGC
rnacentral:tRNA from 1 species